AGAACCACCAUCAUAUUUAUGCAGCUUUGGUAGUUUUGCAUGUAGAAAAAAAUACCCACUUUGCAUUUUCUACAUGCAAAAACUACCAAAGUUGUGUAUUCAUGUGCGGUUUUUCU
rnacentral:pre_miRNA from 1 species